UGAUUUCAGGUGCUCAUCUGACACAGCAACCAGAAAGUUUAUGUUGGUUCAGACAGUGCAAGUUCACUGGGGAAAAGGAGUUUUGCAGGGAAUAUCAUUCUGAGCUAUGGCUCUGUGGCUGAAGUUCACCAGAAGUUGUCAGAGGUUCUUGUCACUGCAGUAACUUAGAACUGCAUAAACACGAAUGGGACUAUUUUCCACAGCCAUGGAUCACUGAGCCACUUUCAGAUUAAUUUGAAGCCUUUGAUGAAGAAAGAAGACUGAUUCCUAUCUAGACACUAAUCACAGUCUGGUGUCCAGAAUGCUUUUUUAGAAGAGCUGUGCCUGAGGCCAUGGAAAUGAGAAGGGUCCUCUCUCUGUCCACACCACACUCAGAAGCUGAUGGUUCCCUGAGCCCCUGUGGGAGGACAAGCCUCCAGAUCCCUGCUGGAGAGCCCUGAGCCAAGGCUGAGUCACAGAACCA